GGGCCCGCACAAGCGGUGGAGCAUGUGGUUUAAUUCGAUGCAACGCGAAAAACCUUACCUACCCUUGACAUCCCUGAAAUCGUCUAGCAGUAGACGAGUGCCUUCGGGAAUCAGGUGACAGGUGCUGCAUGGCUGUCGUCAGCUCGUGUCGUGAGAUGUUAGGUUAAGUCCUGCAACGAGCGCAACCCCUAUACUUAUUUGCCAGCACGUAAUGGUGGGGACUAUAAGUAAACUGCCGGUGAUAAACCGGAGGAAGGUGGGGAUGAUGUCAAGUCAUCAUGGCCCUUAUGGGUAGGGCUACACACGUGCUACAAUGGACAGUACAAUUGGUUGCGAACCCGCGAGGGGGAGCUAAUCCAAAAAGCUGUUCUCAGUCCGGAUUGGAGUCUGCAACUCGACUCCAUGAAGUCGGAAUC
rnacentral:rRNA from 1 species